UAAUGUAAACCCGCCAUUAGAGACGCUACCCGUGUGUCGGUAAAGCCAGGGGUACGACUAAAACGUCAAAUCCCUCAUAUUGCCAGUGUACCCAAUAUUGCUGCGGUUUACUGACAUUUUGGUUCAAUCAAUUACUGUUGUUUACAACUCGGUCCGGUUAUAUAGUUGAAUAGUGGCUAACUUUAAACUCCAUGUUAAAUGUGAACACCUCCAUGUGAAACCGAAAUAUGAAAAUCGCUCAUGCAGUUAGAAUAAAGCAGCGCAUUUUUCGAUUUCAAUCCUCGUAAAUGAUAUGUUGAUAAACAAAUGACGCCAUAUUGAUUUUGAUUUUGGGUAGCCUAUAUUCAAUUGAUGUCUAACCCCUGGGUAAAGCGGGUAGACAUACCGGCAGAUACCAUCCACAUACAAACUGAUGAGAAUAACAAAUUAUCAUUCAUUUCCAUCGGAUACUUGUGAAAGGCAGUGCGUGAGAUAUUCUAUCUUGGACUUAUGGGUUAUGGAACUGAGUGGAUGAUGAAUUCGAAUGAGGAAAAUGGUCUCCGUUGAGAGUGUUUUCGAUUGGGAACAUCAAUAGUAGACCUGUGCCUAUGACGGCCUAUGUCCUAUAUCAAGUUGGAUAUAUUAGAAAAAACUGAAAAAAUGUUUCUUCUUUAUGAGGAACUUUUGGUUCGAUUGAUUGGGUUACCUGCAAAUACGUAGAAGAGUUUUAUGUGGCUAUCCACCGAUGGAAUUGUUACUGCGGACCUCUCGAUUCCGUACAUUUGAAGAUGUAUCAUCGAUUCACGCACUCGCUUUCCCUGUUCGCAGAUGAAGUUUUGUAUCGAUAUCAUCUCGGGGGAGCCAAUGUGGAUCAACUAGGGCGAUCGUAAGUCGCCUCCAAAAGUGAAACCGAUAACGACGGUAGACUUUGAUUACAUAUUUGCCGGAAAGAAAUUAUUUCAUUAACUCCACCGUUUGAUGUCAGCGGGACGGAAAAAUAGCACUCGAAAACAUCAUAGGAGAAAACACGAUUUUUUUUUCUUCCCGGAACUCCGUAACCGCGAAGACGAGCGUUUUUUUUCGAGUAGAAGACUGCAGUGACUCUGACUUCCGAUGUGGACACGCUGGAAUGGCUUCUUCGUGCAAGUAUUUAAUUUUAAUUAUUAAAAUUUAGAUAGCAGUUUGAGUACAUUUUGUCGCGAUUUAUCAUAACUUUCAAUUUUGAGGAACAGCCAAUUCAAUAAUUAGAGUAUAUUAUUACUAGAAUCGAUAAGUUAGAAGACAGAGACUGUAAUUAUUUUACUCACAAGAUAGGUUAGGCCUAAUUUGCUUCUCAGCCUCAUACUGUAUUCGAUUGAUGGAAUGAAUCACAUUUAGUGUUCGGUUCGGUAUGGACACCGCCGGAUAUUCGGUUAUAUCAGAAUAUUGUCGUUUACUGCACAUCAAAAUUUACAAUUUGUUUAUCUUAACUUUUCCCUGUAGCAGUUAUAUCAGCGAAAUUGAUACGUCUGGGCUUCCUAUUGAAUCCAUUAAUUUAUAACAUCCAUUGAAGUUCGUGAAACAUCGACGACUGUUAGAAUACGUUUCUGGAUGUAAUUGAACUAAUCCGUAAUUAAGUUACGUUUCAGGACAACACUGGUUCGUUCGGUUCGUUCCGGAAAAGGGGAAAGAUCUGUGCUUUAUUGUUGCAUGCAAUGUUCGUUAAACAUGUUACUACACGUCUCUAAAGUCUAGUGUUACGACACGCGAUACAAAUUAUCUUCGGGUAUCCUGAGGAGGAAAACCUGUAAAAUUAACUGGGUCGACUAAAAAUUCUAUUCUCGAUCGUGACUUGAGGACUACGUAUAGCACGUAUCACGCUAUAGCCCUUGUGGUGGUGCAAGAUUUCCGUGGGUUUCGGAUCGAGUGAACGAAGUCGUGUAAUCUCGAAAUGCAAGUGAGUUUAUUCCUAUAAAAUUCGGCUUAUACAUGCCGUCUCAAUCUAGAGACAUCAUGUUGGUUAUCGCCUACCCGGCUGGUGAUACAUGCCUGCCCGUUAGGCAUGUAACGUUCAAGGAUUUCGGAUUCAACGAUAUACACGAGUAGAUGUCUGACACAGGAAUAUUCCCUCUGAGCUUGUCUGAGCUUAUUAGUCUGUUUUUAUGUACUAUAAGUUGUAAGUAAU